rnacentral:rRNA from 1 species
AGGGUUUGAUCCUGGCUCAGGACGAACGCUGGCGGCGUGCCUAACACAUGCAAGUCGAGCGAAUGAAGUUCCUUCGGGAACGGAUUUAGCGGCGGACGGGUGAGCAACACGUGGGCAACCUGCCUCAUAGAGGGGAAUAGCCUUCCGAAAGGGAGAUUAAUACCGCAUAAGAUUGUAGUACCGCAUGGUACAGCAAUUAAAGGAGCAAUCCGCUAUGAGAUGGGCCCGCGGCGCAUUAGCUAGUUGGUGAGGUAACGGCUCACCAAGGCGACGAUGCGUAGCCGACCUGAGAGGGUGAUCGGCCACAUUGGGACUGAGACACGGCCCAGACUCCUACGGGAGGCAGCAGUGGGGAAUAUUGCACAAUGGGGGAAACCCUGAUGCAGCAACGCCGCGUGAGUGAUGACGGCCUUCGGGUUGUAAAGCUCUGUCUUCAGGGACGAUAAUGACGGUACCUGAGGAGGAAGCCACGGCUAACUACGUGCCAGCAGCCGCGGUAAUUC